UACGUAGGGUGCGAGCGUUGUCCGGAAUUAUUGGGCGUAAAGAGCUCGUAGGCGGUUUGUCACGUCUGCUGUGAAAUCCCGAGGCUCAACCUCGGGCCUGCAGUGGGUACGGGCAGACUGGAGUGCGGUAGGGGAGAAUGGAAUUCCUGGUGUAGCGGUGGAAUGCGCAGAUAUCAGGAGGAACACCGAUUGCGAAGGCAGCUCGCUGGAACGUAACUGACGCUGAGACGCGAAAGCGUGGGGAGCAAACAGG
rnacentral:rRNA from 1 species